UGAAAACAAACAUUUCUGCAAGGUUUGCCUUCUUAGAAAAGAUUAAGUCCAGUCCCUCUUGUCUUGUACUCUGUCACUGGCAGGUUCUUGUCCUGUUUGAAACACCAAAGAAGGCAGAAUUUUCAGUGCUGGUGGUUUGUGGAAAAAAAGAAAAAAAGCUACGGAGGACGUUUUACGUUGGGCAGAGAUUUCAGGCUGCAGCAAGAUCCAGCCUGUGCACUUGUGAAAGGCUGUGCUCUCCUCUGGGGCUGGAGGAAGACAAAGGUUCUGCUUAUUAAACAGUGAUGUCAGGAGGAGCUCUGCAGGAUGAGAAGGUUAUUUUGUGACUGGACACCUUGAGUCACUUGGGGUAAAUUGCUACAGUGUCUCAGUUAUCAGUUAAGUCGUUGUGUUCUGGUGGAAUCAGUGGAGCUUGUUCUCACUGGUGCAGUAUCUGAGCCAUCAAGUUUAAUGAAUCGUUACAAAUAGUUUAAUUUGCACUUGCAGGUGCUAUUAAAACUAGGUUUUUUUUUUGUUUUUGUUUUUUUGUUUUUUUUUUUUUUUGCCAAGAGGGGGGGGGGGGGGGGGGGGGGGGGGGGGGGGGGGGGGGGGGGGGGGGGGGGGGGGGGGGGGGGGGGGGGGGGGGGGGGGGGGGGGGGGGGGGGGGGGGGGGGGGGGGGGGGGGG
rnacentral:lncRNA from 1 species